ACGAACGCUGGCGGCAGGCCUAACACAUGCAAGUCGAGCGCCCCCGCAAGGGGGAGCGGCGGACGGGUGAGUAACGCGUGGGAAUUUUCCUCAAGGUACGGAACAACUCAGGGAAACUUGGGCUAAUACCGUAUGAUGUCUAGCGACCAAAGAUUUAUCGCCUUGGGAUAAGCCCGCGUCAGAUUAGGUAGUUGGUGGGGUAACGGCCUACCAAGCCUGCGAUCUGUAGCUGGUCUGAGAGGACGAUCAGCCACACUGGGACUGAGACACGGCCCAGACUCCUACGGGAGGCAGCAGUGGGGAAUCUUGCGCAAUGGGCGAAAGCCUGACGCAGCCAUGCCGCGUGAAUGAUGAAGGUCUUAGGAUUGUAAAGUUCUUUCGCCCGUGACGAUGAUGACGGUAACGGGAGAAGAAGCCCCGGCUAACUUCGU
rnacentral:rRNA from 1 species